UACGAAGGGGGCUAGCGUUGCUCGGAAUCACUGGGCGUAAAGGGCGCGUAGGCGGCCGAUUAAGUCGGGGGGGAAAGCCUGUGGCUCAACCACAGAAUUGCCUUCGAUACUGGUUGGCUUGAGACCGGAAGAGGACAGCGGAACUGCGAGUGUAGAGGUGAAAUUCGUAGAUAUUCGCAAGAACACCAGUGGCGAAGGCGGCUGUCUGGUCCGGUUCUGACGCUGAGGCGCGAAAGCGUGGGGAGCAAACAGG
rnacentral:rRNA from 1 species